rnacentral:rRNA from 1 species
UACGGAGGGUGCAAGCGUUAUCCGGAUUCACUGGGUUUAAAGGGUGCGUAGGCGGAUUAGAAAGUCCGUUGUGAAAUCUCUGAGCUUAACUCGGAAAUUGCGGUGGAUACUAUUAGUCUUGAAUACUGUGGAGGUUAGCGGAAUAUGUCAUGUAGCGGUGAAAUGCAUAGAUAUGACAUAGAACACCAAUUGCGAAGGCAGCUGGCUACACAAAUAUUGACGCUGAGGCACGAAAGCGUGGGGAUCAAACAGG